rnacentral:rRNA from 1 species
GACGAACCGAGCGAACGUUGUUCGGAAUCACUGGGCUUAAAGGGCGCGUAGGCGGGCUGUCAAGUCUGGGGUGAAAUCCCGCGGCUCAACCGUGGAACUGCCUCAGAUACUGACGGCCUCGAGGGAGGUAGGGGCGAGCGGAACUCUCAGUGGAGCGGUGAAAUGCGUUGAUAUCGGGAAGAACACCCGUGGCGAAGGCGGCUCUCUGGGACGGUACUGACGCUGAGACGCGAAAGCGUGGGGAGCGAACAGG